rnacentral:rRNA from 1 species
AUUGAACGCUGGCGGCAUGCUUUACACAUGCAAGUCGAACGGCAGCGCGGGCUUCGGCCUGGCGGCGAGUGGCGAACGGGUGAGUAAUACAUCGGAACGUGCCCAGUAGUGGGGGAUAGCUCGGCGAAAGCCGGAUUAAUACCGCAUACGACCUGAGGGUGAAAGCGGGGGAUCUUCGGACCUCGCGCUAUUGGAGCGGCCGAUGGCAGAUUAGCUAGUUGGUGGGGUAAAGGCCUACCAAGGCGACGAUCUGUAGCUGGUCUGAGAGGACGACCAGCCAAAAUGGGAGGGGAGACAGGCCCAAGCCCCCGGGGGGAGGCGCAAGGGGGAAUUUUGGGAAAAGGGGAGAAACCGUGACCAACAAGGGCGGGGGGGGUGAUGAAGCCUUCGGGGCUGAAAAGAUGUUUGGGGGGGAACAAAAAGAACGGGCCAAAUACCAGGGUUCGAGGAGGGUACCCGAAAAAAAAGCCCGGGCUAAGUACGUG